AAUGGGGAAUAUAGUACAUAAGCUGCUGCCAUGGCGAAUCUGUGAAACAGAUCGAAACUAAAAUAGAAUUUUCCAAAUCAAAGUCUUCGAUAAAUUUAUCCAAAAGUUCAUAGAUCGAAACUGAUAACAUCUUCAAAUCCAUUGAACAGUUCGUUGUUCAGUGUAUUAUGUUUUGUGUGUGUGUUCGUUGUCUCCGUCUGUUUUACCGUUUACCGUUAUCUUCUCCGUUUGCGUUAACGUUUUCCGUCGUCUUCUCCGUUUUGUAGGUGUUUCUGCAUCUGUACUGGUGGACUUUCAUCUCUCUGGCGUUUGCAGCUUUGAUGAUUGAAUUUUUCGAGCACUAAGAGGAAUAAUGAUCAUCACGAUGAGAUCUGUAACAAUGGAGGAUUGAAUUUUGGACUUUUAAUUGGGUUCCUCUAAUAUGAUAGUUAAAGGAAUUAAAGGGUUAAAUUUUGGUGAAUAUGCAAUCUUCUAGAAAGGGAGGUUUAUAUAAUGAAAUCAAGAAAAAAAAAAAAGUAAAAGAAGCAUUCAUUUCUAUAAUUAGUGAAGGGUAACUAUGAAGAUGUAAAUGAUAAUUGAAUGGAUUUUUUUUUACAAAGAUUGCCA